rnacentral:lncRNA from 1 species
AUGCCGCGUCGUCUCGCACCGCACGGGCAGCAAGUCCUUCCACCCUGUCCCUGCAGAAGCACAGAGGACCUCGGAACCUGCCGCAAGGCCAGGCCCACGGGUGUCAGCAUUGAUGAGCAACGCAGCCCCUGGCCUUUCCCCAGGACUGGAAGGCGCAGAAGGGGAAGCCGGUUCCUGAGAGCGAAUUUCCUCAUCAGAAUGUGCUGCGGUGUGACUGGGUGCUGUAUAGGUGCAGCGCGGGGCACCCAGGGGUGCCUCCUAGCUCCAGAAACUUCCCCGGCUCCUUCUGCCUCUGGGAGCUUGGCAGUCAGGGGAUAUUCUCAUCUCUGUCCCCAGCCUAAGGCUAAAGACCCAGCCUAAGAGCCUACGUGAUGUGACUGAAAAAUACAGUGAACAUUUAAUUUUUUAAAAAUCUCUUACGGGAAUAAAGACAGUGAGCACCUUU